rnacentral:rRNA from 1 species
ACGCUCGACACCUACGGGAGGUAGCAGUCGGGAAUAUUGCGCAAUGGAGGAAACUCUGACGCAGUGACGCCGCGUAUAGGAAGAAGGUUUUCGGAUUGUAAACUAUUGUCGUUAGGGAAGAGAAAGGACAGUACCUAAGGAGGAAGCUCCGGCUAACUACGUGCCAGCAGCCGGACGGUAAUCUGAGGCGGGCUGGCAAGGC